UUGCUGAUUGUUGGAUGGAUGCAGCUUGAGACUCAACUAUCUUAUCUAAAUUACAGAUGUCAUCAUCUGUGAGCGGCAAGUCCUCAUAGUCCAUUACUGGAGAUACGUGAUUCAGUGGUUUUUCAUCAUGAAUCAUAGCCUUCACAAAAUAAAAUAACAUAUGUUAUUCUCAGAUUUUAAACAAUAACAAAACGUUUACUACCCCUAGUAAUAGUUUUCCUGAGGUUUACUACCUUGCAACACAGUUUCCCUAUUAAGUCUACUACCCCCUAGUAAUUUUAUAUUCUCACCAAAGCUUCUGGUUGAUCAUCUGCAGAUUGUGUUGUUUGUGCAGUUCCAACUUUGAACUUGACUAUCAGGCUUCUGUUCUGGUUUUCCUGAUUUUUUAAUUUAAAAAAAAUAUAUUAGUUAACAUAAUAAAGAAAACAAAAUAAAGUAAAAAGUAGUCUUAGUUAUAGUGUAAAGUAUCAUCUUACAUUCCCUUUUGUUUGUUCAUCUCCUUGGUAGCCAUACUCUUCCCCACCGAAUUGCCUUUUCUGCUCGGGAGGUCCAUUUGCUAAGGAUUUUGCUUUUUAAGCUUUCUCUUCAGAGCCUUGUUGAGGUUGUCUUACGCCCUUUUCUCCAUCUCUAGCUGCUUUAUUUGUCAUCGGUAAGCUGUAACUUGUGCACGUAAUCAUUGAUUCUAUUCUGGAGUUCUUCGUUUGCUUUGCCGAGUUCUUUUAGCUUCUCAUUCAAAUCUUCUAGGAUCUCCUCCUCCAAGUCUGUCAGUAGUGUCUUAAAAUUGUCGCCCACUCUUUUAUUUUCUUCCAUUUCUUGCGGGCUUGAUAAAGGAACCUGAGACCAAAUACAUACAGAUAAGUAUGAAGUUUACUACCCCCUAGUAAACUACUUUUUUCACAAUCAGGAAAAAAAAAUGUGACUUACUACCCCCAGUAAAUGUUUACUAGGGGUAGUAAACUAUGCCAAACAGGUUUACUACCCACAGUUAACUAUGCCAACAGUCAACUAUUGAUUUAGAGAUGAUUAUACAGUUUACUGCCCCUAGUAAACUUGAUAUCAUACACUACUUAUGCAAUGAAAAGUGAAGUUUACUGCCCCUAGUGAACUAUUACUAGGGGCAGUAAAGUAUGCCAAUGCACUUUUAUUUCAUUCAUUUUUCAGACUUACCCAUUCUUCAAAGCUCGGGGUGCCAUGUUCGUCUGGGGUGCCAUAUUCCUCUGAUCCGGAAGUGCUUUCUUCCUCAUCCUUCCAUGGACCUUGAGCAACCAGUUCCUAUUUUUUGCAAAAAUAAGAUUUGUUCAGUUUUUCAGAAACAACAUCUAAGUACAAUGCUGUAUAAUAUUUGGAAAACCAAAAACCAAUUUUUACCUCAAGCUUUUUC
rnacentral:lncRNA from 1 species